UAGCCGUAAACGAUACUCGCUAGGUGUCGGCCACGGUGCGACCGUUGUCGGUGCCGUAGGGAAGCCGUGAAGCGAGCCACCUGGGAAGUACGGCCGCAAGGCUGAAACUUAAAGGAAUUGGCGGGGGAGCACAACAACGGGUGGAGCUUGCGGUUUAAUUGGAUUCAACGCCGGAAAUCUUACCGGGACCGACAGCAACAUGAAGGCCAAGCUGAAGACUUUGCCGGACUUAGCUGAGAGGAGGUGCAUGGCGUCAGUGAC
rnacentral:rRNA from 1 species